rnacentral:rRNA from 1 species
CUGAGGCGACUGCGGAGACAUUG